GUAAAAUGAUUUAAAGUAAACAACUAUUGUUUUCUUAUACUUAAUAAUUUUAUAUUGGAGUGCUAAAAUGUAUUACUUAAGUUAUUAAAGAUUUCAAUGCAGAUUUAGUUGCUCUACAAGAAGUCAGAUGGCCAGAGGGUUAGGGCACUUUAAAUCAGAUAAUAUGACAUGAAUAUGUUGUGGUUUUUAUUUUAAAAGAAUAGUAAAGAAUAUAACUUCAGUCUUUAUUCUUUAUAGACUUAAGAGAAAACAACUUAAAUAUUAAC